CCUACGGGUGGCAGCAGUGAGGAAUAUUGGUCAAUGGGCGGGAGCCUGAACCAGCCAAGCCGCGUGAGGGAAGAAGGUACAGCGUAUCGUAAACCUCUUUUGUCAGGGAACACAGGCUGGGACUAGUCCCCGGAUUAGUGUACCUGAAGAAAAAGCAUCGGCUAACUCCGUACCAGCCGCCGCGGUAAUACGGAGGAUGCGAGCGGUAUCCUGAUUUAUGGGGGUUAAAGUGUGCGCGGGGGGCCUGUUAAGUCAGCGGUAAAAGCCCGGGGCUAAACCCCGGCGAGCCGUUGAAACUGGCGGGCUGGAGUUGGAGAGAAGGACGUGGAAUGCGAGGUGUAGCGGUGAAAUGCUUAGAGAUUAGGAAGAACACCAGUGGCGAAGGCGAUUCUCUGGACUGUAACUGACGCUGAGGCUCGAAAGCGUGGGGAGCAAACAGGAUUAGAUACCCCUGUAGUC
rnacentral:rRNA from 1 species